rnacentral:rRNA from 1 species
AUACGGAGGGUGCAAGCGUUACUCGGAAUCACUGGGCGUAAAGCGCGCGCAGGCGGCUAUUUAAGUUGGAUGUGAAAGCCUAUGGCUCAACCAUAGAACUGCAUCCAAAACUAUUUAGCUAGAGUGUGGGAGAGGAAGAUGGAAUUAGUUGUGUAGGGGUAAAAUCCGUAGAGAUAACUAGGAAUACCAAAAGCGAAGGCAAUCUUCUGGAACACUACUGACGCUGAGGGACGAAAGCGUGGGGAGCGAACAGGAUUAGAAACCCGGGUAGUCC